rnacentral:rRNA from 1 species
ACGGUAACAGGUCUUCGGACGCUGACGAGUGGCGAACGGGUGAGUAAUACAUCGGAACGUGCCCAGUCGUGGGGGAUAACUACUCGAAAGAGUAGCUAAUACCGCAUACGAUCUGAGGAUGAAAGCGGGGGACCUUCGGGCCUCGCGCGAUUGGAGCGGCCGAUGGCAGAUUAGGUAGUUGGUGGGAUAAAAGCUUACCAAGCCGACGAUCUGUAGCUGGUCUGAGAGGACGACCAGCCACACUGGGACUGAGACACGGCCCAGACUCCUACGGGAGGCAGCAGUGGGGAAUUUUGGACAAUGGGCGAAAGCCUGAUCCAGCAAUGCCGCGUGCAGGAUGAAGGCCUUCGGGUUGUAAACUGCUUUUGUACGGAACGAAAAAGCUUCUCCUAAUACGAGAGGCCCAUGACGGUACCGUAAGAAUAAGCACCGGCUAACUACGUGCCAGCAGCCGCGGUAAUACGUAGGGUGCGAGCGUUAAUCGGAAUUACUGGGCGUAAAGCGUGCGCAGGCGGUUAUGUAAGACAGAUGUGAAAUCCCCGGGCUCAACCUGGGAACUGCAUUUGUGACUGCAUGGCUAGAGUACGGUAGAGGGGGAUGGAAUUCCGCGUGUAGCAGUGAAAUGCGUAGAUAUGCGGAG